CCGGGGUGCACGGGGGCCCCGUGCCGCAGAAGAGCUGUCCGCAUCUCCGGGCCGCCCCGUGCAGCAGCACAGCCCCCGUCCCGCAGGAGGGACCCGCCGGUAUCCGGCAGCCCUCCCAAGCCCUCCCGUGGGCUGCGGGGAAUCGGGGGCUGCUCAGCGCGGGGUGCACUGACCCCCGUCUCUCUCUGUUUCUACCCCCAGGGAGCAAAACCCAAGGCGUGGUGCAAGGCGUCACUUCAGUGGCCGAGAAGGCGAAGGAGCAGGCGUCCCAGCUGGGCGAAGCGGCGUUCUCGGGCGCCGGCAACAUCGCGGCGGCCACGGGGCUGGUGAAAAAGGAGGAGUUCCCCGCGGACCUGAAGGCCGAGGAGGUGGCACAGGAGGCUGUGGAAGAGCCGCUGGUUGAGCCGCUGCUGGAGCCGGAGGGGGAGAGCUACGAGGAGUCCCCACAGGAGGAAUACCAGGAAUACGAGCCAGAGGCAUAAUGGAACCCUGUCCUUGCCUCUUCCACCAGCAGCACAACGAACCGCCGGUAGCCCCCUGCUCCUCCCCAGCUGGCCCCGGCCAGUGCCCACGUGCCGGGGAGGAGCAGGGUUGCCCCUGCCCCGUUCGCUCACAAGUUCUUCCUCCAGUUCCGUUCCAAGGGACCAUGUCCAUGUCUCCGUACCGUGUCUAGCAGUGAGAACCCGCUGUGUCCGAGCCCUGCAGCCUCAGCGUGUGCCCAAGCUGUGGGCACUGCCCGCAGGGGCUGCUGUGUGUGUGUGCGUGCGAGUGUCCGUGGUGCCCGGGCUUACAGCUCUGUCUCCCUCCCAGCGCUGUAAGCCCCGGCUGCGUCCCGGUGUGUCUGUGUGUGUACAAAGCAUGUUUACCUGCGCGCGGGCUGCUGUACAUUUUGCUUGCAUGCGUGUCCCUGUGGUUCUGCUCUGGUCAUCGUGGAACUGUUUUUGGUUUUCUGUUUUUGUUUUUUUUUUUUUUUUAAUAUAUCUAUCUCUAUCUAUGGGUGGACGGGUCUUUUGCCUUUGUGAGCCCUCGGUGUCCAAGCCCGCUCCCCAGCCUGCUGGGUGGAGACGGUGCCUGCACCCUCCCCGAGGUCCUGUAGUGCUGACGCUGUGUUGUGACGUGGCAUGGAUAUCCCCCCGCCCUCGUUGCUGGAUGUGCAAUACGAGUGCAGCUGCCAGUGACACAGCUGCCACCGUGUCCAUGAAUAAAGCCAACUCUUGUCUGUAGCCCCCUGGUGCUGGUUGUGGGGUCCCUUGGUCU
rnacentral:lncRNA from 1 species